UCGCGUUGAAACCCCGGUAUCCGUACGAUCACCGAAGUUAAGCAACGUCGAGCGUGGUCAUUAGUAAGAUAGGUGAUCGCUUGAGAAUACCAGGCGCUGUAAU